AGCCAAACAGCUAGCCCGCCCCAUUACCACCACCAUAAACAUAUAAUUACACCCUAAGUUACUAACAAAUAACCAAUAAACCAUUCUUCCCCUUUAGUAUGGGAGACAGAAAAAGAACAAGGCGCAAUAGAGAAAGUACCGCAAGGGAACGCUGAAAGAGAAGUGAAACAAACCAGUAAAGCACUAAAAAGCAAAGAUUAAGACUUGUACCUUUUGCAUCAUGAAUUAGCCAGUAAUCAUUAAGCAAAGUGAAUUUUAGUUUAACUCCCCGAAACUAGGUGAGCUACUCCAAGGCAGCCUGAUAAUAGGGCAAACCCUUCUCUGUGGCAAAAGAGUGGGAAGAACUUUGAGUAGCGGUGAAAAGCCUCCCGAACCUAGUAAUAGCUGGUUGCCUGAGAAAUGAAUAGAAGUUCAGCCUCCUCCCUUCUUUCCCCUAUUAUGGAAACACCUUAGUCAGAGAAAAAGAAGAGAAGAGAGUUAGUCAAAGAAGGGACAGCUUCUUUGAAAAAAGACACAACUUUUUUAGGAGGAUAAGAAUCAUACUAAAUUAAGGACUUAUGUUCAGGUGGGCCUAAAAGCAGCCACCCUGGAAGAAAGCGUUAUAGCUCGAACAUUAUUGCCUCCUUUAAUACUGAUAAACCAAUUUUACACCCCUUAUUCUAACAGGCCCUUCUAUUUUAUAGUAGAAGAGAUAAUGCUAAUAUGAGUAAUAAGAGAUAAAGAUUCUCUCCAAGCAUAAGUGUACAUCAGAACAGACAUCCUACCGAAAAUUAACGGCCCCAAAUAAAGAGGGCAUUGGAAAAAUAAACAGAUAACUAGAAAACCUUCCAACAAAUACCGUUGACCCUACACUGGAAUGCUAACCUGGAAAGACCUAAAGGAGAAGAAGGAACUCGGCAAACAUAUUCCUGGCCUCGCCUGUUUACCAAAAACACCGCCUCUUGCUAAAGAAGUAUAAGAGGUCCCGCCUGCCCUGUGACAAAAAGUUUAACGGCCGCGGUAUCUUGACCGUGCGAAGGUAGCGCAAUCACUUGUUUCUUAAAUGGAGACCUGUAUGAAUGGCAUAACGAGGGCCAACCUGUCUCCUUCUCCCAGUCAAUGAAAUUGAUCUCCCCGUGCAGAAGCGGGGAUAAGCACAUAAGACGAGAAGACCCUUUGGAGCUUUAGACUACAAGCAGACCAUGCUA
rnacentral:rRNA from 1 species